rnacentral:lncRNA from 1 species
UACAUUGUAUGUCCGAUGCUUCAUAAUGUGAUAAAGAUCAACAGCUCUCUUUAGAUAAUCUUUACUCUCAAACAUCAGAUCUUUUUUAAAUUCAGUCAUCGAGUCCCAAAACUGAUAGUCAGAGUUCAAUCUUCGACCAGCACUAACAUAACCACCAUCAUCUAAAUUUAUAUCGUUAAAAAAUUAUGGGGGUUCAUGCAAACGGGGUUGAGGUUCUCCCACAU